UAGGGAAUCUUCGGCAAUGGACGAAAGUCUGACCGAGCAACGCCGCGUGAGUGAAGAAGGUUUUCGGAUCGUAAAACUCUGUUGUUAGAGAAGAACAAGGACGUUAGUAACUGAACGUCCCCUGACGGUAUCUAACCAGAAAGCCACGGCUAACUACUUGCCAGCAGCCGCGGUAAUACGUAGGUGGCAAGCGUUGUCCGGAUUUAUUGGGCGUAAAGCGAGCGCAGGCGGUUUCUUAAGUCUGAUGUGAAAGCCCCCGGCUCAACCGGGGAGGGUCAUUUGAAACUGGGAGGCUUGAGUGCAGAAGAGGAGAGUGGAAUUCCAUGUGUAGCGGUGAAAUGCGUAGAUAUAUGGAGGAACACCAGUGGCGAAGGCGGCUCUCUGGUCUGUAACUGACGCUGAGGCUCGAAAGCGUGGGGAGCAAACAGG
rnacentral:rRNA from 1 species